UAAAAGAUAAGCUAACUAAGCUAUUGGGCUCAUAACCCUUUUAUGGUUUCUGCCUCUUUUAA
rnacentral:tRNA from 1 species